rnacentral:rRNA from 1 species
GUCGAGCGAACAGAUGAAGUGCUUGCACUUCUGACGUUAGCGGCGAACGGGUGAGUAACACGUAAGGAAUCUACCUAUAAGCGGGGGAUAACAUUCGGAAACGGGUGCUAAUACCGCAUAAUAUCUUCUUCCGCAUGGAAGAAGAUUGAAAGACGGCUCUGCUGUCACUUAUAGAUGACCUUGCGGUGCAUUAGUUAGUUGGUGGGGUAACGGCCUACCAAGACGAUGAUGCAUAGCCGACCUGAGAGGGUGAUCGGCCACAUUGGGACUGAGACACGGCCCAAACUCCUACGGGAGGCAGCAGUAGGGAAUCUUCCGCAAUGGGCGAAAGCCUGACGGAGCAAUGCCGCGUGAGUGAAGAAGGCCUUCGGGUCGUAAAACUCUGUUAUAAGAGAAGAACAAAUUGUAGAGUAACUGCUACAGUCUUGACGGUAUCUUAUCAGAAAGCCACGGCUAACUACGUGCCAGCAGCCGCGGUAAUACGUAGGUGGCAAGCGUUGUCCGGAUUUAUUGGGCGUAAAGGGAGCGCAGGUGGUUUCUUAAGUCUGAUGUGAAAGCCCACGGCUUAACCGUGGAGGGUCAUUGGAAACUGGGAAACUUGAGUACAGAAGAGGAAUGUGGAACUCCAUGUGUAGCGGUGGAAUGCGUAGAUAUAUGGAAGAACACCAGUGGCGAAGGCGACAUUCUGGUCUGUUACUGACACUGAGGCUCGAAAGCGUGGGGAGCAAACAGGAUUAGAUACCCUGGUAGUCCACGCCGUAAACGAUGAGUGCUAGGUGUUGGA